CGCAGCUGACCCGGGUUCGAUUCCCGGCCAACGCAGUCACUUUUCUCCACGAUUUUAGAACGUGCGCACAUGUGUUUUACAAUAACUUUUUGAAAAGGCGUCCAAGUAAACAGAGAACGGCCAACGCUUCGAAUUGAGUUGCGGUAGGGGAGCAGAGCUUGACUACCAAAGCGUGAAGGGGCUUCGCUAACCUACCAGUGAGAGUUGACGCUCUCCAGAAAUAAAUGCAUAAUCCAUAUUACCUCUGUCCCGGUUGCUCGCAUUGCUUCCUCUUCACGGUCCAAAAAAAACAGAAGAUGGGCGGUUCGAUUCAAGCUGAACAUCUGGCACGCAGAGAGCACGGCCUUCACGAAUGACAAGAGGGUCAGAGAAGUAUUGGCGCUAUUUUCAGGAGCUGAGCAAAACUUCCCCAAGAGUGCCGCUUUGAUAGCCUGGUAUGAGUACAGAAAACCGCUGACCCUACAGCUUCAACCCAAAGAACUUGAGCAACUUUGCCAGGUCUUCAACCUCGACCAACUCACUACCUCCCAGGUCGAGGCUGUAGAGAGAGCAAUCCAAGUUAUGGAAGCAAGCAUGAAAGGCAAGCCAGGAGAGCGUAUGAGAAGACGAUGGAGCCAGGAGCAUGAAGGUUUCUCCUUCAUGGGCAGUGGACUGUGGAUCAACCCAAAGUGGCCGUACAUGGGGUCCUCAUCUGGCUGACGGGAUGGUGGCCUGUGACUGUCAUGGAAAUGACAUCUGUGAGAUUAAGGUGCUAUUGCCAUGUUGAUGAAGUCUGGAUUAAAUACAAAACUAACUGCAUUUCAUAGAACAUGUUGUCUAUAAUGUUUUUGUUACUUUUUAGUGUAUUGUUUAGAGUAUCUCUGAGGGAUGAGGCCAACCUGCAGUUACAUGUGGGACAGAAGGGCUUCUGCCUGAUCACAAAUGAAGGGUAAAGUCAUGCUAGACCGAAAUCAUGAACACUUCCUCCAGGUCCAGUCACAGCUCCACAUAUCUGAAGCAGACUAGAGUGAUUUAGCUGUGGACGCCGUGUGCCAUUUUCGUGGGUAGAAUUAUUCCAGACAUUGCAUUUUGGGAUGCUGUGGUUCCUAAAGUGGAGCAUUUCUUAGGAAUGCUUCCCUAGGCAUUUUGUUAAUACUUCUAGAAGUUCUGGGACAGCAAUUACCAGUCACCAGCAGGACUGUCUUAGCCAAUGCCGUGCCCCUGGGCGCUAUAGCUCAGUGGUGCCCCCUUAUUGUGACCAUUAUGGAUAACCCAUCCAUGAUCACCAGCGUGAUCUCGCCACCUCUUGUACUUAUAUUCAUUAUUCUUAUUGUUAUUGUGUUAUAAUCAUUGUUGUUGUAUGUUUAGGUCACUUGUAUGUAUAUUUGUGAAAGUUAACACUAAAGAAUUUGAAAU